UACGUAGGGUGCAAGCGUUAUCCGGAAUUAUUGGGCGUAAAGAGCUCGUAGGCGGUCUGUCGCGUCGGCUGUGAAAACCUGGGGCUCAACCCCGGGCUUGCAGCCGAUACGGGCAGACUAGAAUUCGGUAGGGGAGACUGGAAUUCCUGGUGUGGCGGUGAAAUGCGCAGAUAUCAGGAGGAACACCGGUGGCGAAGGCGGGUCUCUGGGCCGAUAUUGACGCUGAGGAGCGAAAGCGUGGGGAGCAAACAGG
rnacentral:rRNA from 1 species